GGUCCGUAGGUGACCUGCGGAAGGAUCAUUA
rnacentral:rRNA from 1 species